GCAUAGGGUUAAAAGUAAAAAGGAUAGUCAAGGAGCCUAAAUGUGAGUGUGUGGUAAUCUAGAAAAAUCCUGGUUUUCUUUUUUUGAAGAAAUGACUAAAAAUCUGUAUUUUUUUCCAGUUUUUUUAUCUCAGUUCAAAUAUAUAUAUAUAUAUAAAAAUUUGUGAAGAAAUUUAUUUUAAAUAUUGUCAAACUUGCUUAAGAAGUCUCAGAAUUUGUGAAAGGUCUUGUCCAGGAUGCCCUCCACACACACACAUACUAGUUCCAAAUAAAACCUCUAUAGCAAGCAUGAACCCUUAACCUUCCAGAAAUAAAACCAUACAACAACAUUUUUUGUCCCCAAACCAAACAGGGUCAUAAACAGAUAAGAGUGAACUGUCUGUAAGCUACAGGUGUUAAAGGAACAAAAAAGGAAAAAUGUAGCUGGAGUGCAUAAACAUCCAAAUUCACUAUAUGGACAAAAGUGUUGGGACACCGGACUUUUCCAGCCAUAUGUGGUCUACACCAAACUUUUACCACAAAGAUGGAGGCACACAAUUGUAUCAGAUGUCUUUGGACGUGUUAUCAUUACAUAUAUCUUACGCUUUUUCCCUAGGAAAUCCAAACCUGUCUCAGCAUGACAAUGCCCCUGUGCGCCAUGAAGAUAUGCUUUACAUGGGAUGGAGUGGAAGAUCUCCUGCUAUAGAGCUUUGACCUCAACACUAUUGAACACCUUUGUGUUUGUCCAAUAUACCAGUCAAUACACCCGAAAUAAGGACUGGCAUAACCAGACGAAAACAGUUCUUACAGUCGAGCCGCAGAUAAUCGUUGAGCAGCUGGAAGAGAGGAAAACUGUCCCAGCUGUCCGGAGGCUGGACUUCCAGAGCUGCAUCCAUGUCCACAGCGUAGAGUGACAGAAACGUCUCCGCAUGUUCCACCAUGAGUUUGUUCGUGCAUCCGGAGCUCAAAAAUGGCAGGAUCAGGAAACGAUUUUUUCCUUCCGUCCAUCAUAUCGGACCUGCAGGUUUUCCCAAUGCAAGGUUAAACUAUUGACUCUGAGUGUGUGUGUAAGAUGUCCGAAGUGGACAUCAUCCUGCUGUUGGCUAGCUGAGGUAAAGGUGAGGUGAGUUUACACAUUCUUUAAUCUGAUUAAUAAAUGUUCAAAUCUUUGCUACAUUUACAAUAUCAGAUGCAAAACUUGAGCACUGUUGUGUCUUGCUAAUUUAUAUCUUCUGUCCUCAGUUGCUAUUUUACUGGUUAAAGUCAACUGAUAACACAAGAAAUCUAAAUAACAUUAAACUUAUAUUGCAAAAUACAAAACGACCCAGUCUUAUAGACAUUUCAAAACCUUUUUCAGGAUUUCUCAAUCGAAAAGUUCCACAAAAUACCUGAAACUCAAUGCACCUCGAUGACCAGCUCAGCCAGUCGGAGAGUGUCCUCCAGUUUUUUGGCGGGUGUAACUAAGCGGCCUACGUUCUCUGAGGCAUAAGGGCAAAAAUGUUAACUGUUUUACUGGACACAGUGGUACACACACACACACACACACACACACACACACACACACACACACAGGGGCCUAAAACUUUUCAAUGGCUACUCUGAUGUAACUGCAGCUAUAGCACACUUGAGACCUGUGUACAAAUAGUAAAAAUAGAAAACAAUAGAAUAUUAAUAAAAUAAUAUAUUUAAAUUCUAGUAAAAUCUAUUUAAAGGGGCAAUUUUAGUACAUCUUCUCAUAGAAAUGAAACUUGAAUAUAUUUUAGGAGUAAUCCUCCCGGACAUGAAAUUCGUUGAUGCUGGGAUCCUCUUCCAAUCUUUAAUUAAUGACAUCACAGCGUUGCUGGAUGUUAGACACAUGGUGCUUCUCCAGAUUCUGCUUGAGGAUGCCCUACAGGUGCUCAAUAGGGUUCAGGUCUGGAGACAUUCUUGGCCACUUCAUCAGCUUCACCUUCAAUGUCAGCAAGGCAGUUGUCAUCUUGGCGGUGUGUUUGGGGUCUUUAUUAUGUUGGAAAUCCGCUAUUUUGCCCAGUUUCUGAAGGGUGGGCAUCAUGUUCUUCUUCAGAAUGUCACAGUACAUGUUGAAAACAUGUUUCUCUCAAUUAACUGCAGCUCCCCAAUACUAGCAGUACUCAUGCAGCCCCAGACCAUGAUGCUACCACCACCAUGCUGGACACCAUCUGAGCCAAACAAGUUUAUCUUGGUCUUAUCAGACCAUAUGACAUGGUUGCAGUAAUUCAGUAAUUCCAUAUUGAUCAUCCAGCAGUCAGUAUGAGAGAAUUGUAUUUAAAGCACCAAAUUUUAACUGGUCUAAUACAGGAUAUACAUUUGUAUGGUCCUGUCAAGCAGAUAAAAACAUGAACAUGAUGAAUAGUUCAGGGCUUGGCUUGGUUACAUGACGUACAGCUAUCACUAAGGGUGUACUCACUUUUGUUGCCAGUUAUUUAGACAAUAAUGGCUGUAUGUUGAGUUAUUUUUAUAGGACUGUAAAUCUGUAAUGCUAUACAAGCUGCA